rnacentral:lncRNA from 1 species
GCCAUCGUGCGAGUAGGAGCAUUGUGCGCUUUCCCCCUACCCUCACGCACUCGCUGUUCGCGCGUGUGUGUUUCGAGUGCUUCUUGCGGGUUUACCAAGUGUUUUUUCCAGUGGCAAUUUCGACAAGUGUUUCCAAACGGAGAAUCUUAGAAGAAAGUGUUCGGUGCCUAGGCAUUCGUGUUCUUCAUUAUUGCAAAGAUAAAUGAAAUAAUUCAAUCAGGUGGUCGACUGUAAUCACCUUUGAGAGUGUUGUGUGCUUAAAUAAUAUUUCCAAGUGGUGAUAAAAAAAAUAUAUAUCUAUAUAUUUCUGGUGGAUAAUUCCUUGCAGCUUACUUGCAAGAGAUUGUAUUUUUUACCAGUUACAUAAAUGAUCAACUAAGAUCAUAAUAAGCCCAAAGGAAAAAAAAGCCUCACCAUAAAAAAUCUGUUACUGGUGCGUGCCCUUUGAAGUGAGACCCGCCAGUUUCAUCCACAGGUUCUCAAGCAUCACACACAUCCUUUAUACAGUGAAAAUGCCGUGGUUUGAGCUCUUUCUGCUCUUCUUGGCAGUGAUGAAGUCACUGCCACUUGAAGUUGUGUGCAACACGCUGCCGGACAUCUACUGGAACUCCUCCAAUCCCAUGUAAGUACGUUGUUACAAAGGUCAACGAAGUACGAGGCAGUAAGUUAGCUUAUUUCGUUUGCAUAGAAGAAGACAGAGGGAAUUGUGAUAAUAAAACAAGAGAAGA